rnacentral:lncRNA from 1 species
UCUCAUUUUUUUCCUUUCUUCUUCACCGACUCUCCUUCUCUUUCCCUUCUCUUCGCCGAUCUCACAAUGACCACCUUCCUUCCCUUUCACCUUGCAAUGGUUGCGACGGGUCGCCGCAUCCUCCACCUUUUUCUCACUUACAACAGCGGCGAUGAAGAAAAAAAAGGGUAAAACAAUGGAUCCUCCUUUUUACUCCUCUCUUUUUCUGUUUUAAAAUCGGAUUCGGGCUUGUAUGACGUCGGAGGAUACUUCCAGCGACAUGGAAGUCCCGAUCUACAGAUCUAGCAAUAUUCCGCUUUCUGACUCUUGCUUUCUCUAGUUUUUUGUUGUUUUGUUUUGUUUCUUUUUUUAGGGUUUGAAAUCGGUGAAGAGAAAAGAGGAUGGGACCUAACCGCCGACAAUGCAGCCAGCGGCUAGAGAUGAGACAGACAUAGAGGGGUAAAGUCAG